rnacentral:lncRNA from 1 species
ACGGAUCGCACGCGACAUGUGCAGGGAGAGUCGGAGAGAGGAGGCCCGAUGCGUACGUGCCGUCGACACGAGCCGCCGCGGCGUGGCGCGCGUCUCCGCUCCGCUGACUGCUACCGAGCACUAGAAACCCUUCACCAAAUCAAGUAAUCUUUUUUGAUGAAUACUCAGAUCAAUUUUUUUUUUUGGCGUUUGGACCCGGCAAAAAUCCGGUCCUCUGCUCGGCAACCGGCAGCUCGUCGCUUCUCACCUUCUUCACGUUUUACUUUCUAGGACGACGCAUGGUUUUGAUCCCUUCUCUUUCCCCACCUCGUGUCACGGCCAGAGAGGUUCGGUGGACGAUGGAGCGUUGAAAUUUAUGCGGACCGAGAAUAGAAUCCAGUACGGUAUAGAUUAUCUGAUCCGGUUUGGUUUGGUGUAGUCUAGUUGGGUAGGGUCGUUCGCUGUGGUGGGAUUUGUCCACCGGAUUCAGCCUUCGUAUUUCAGGACUUAUUAUUAUUAUUAUUAUUAUUAUUAUUAUUAUUAUAACUAUUAUUUUAAUGGCAGAUGAUGCGCGUUGGUAGUAAUUUUAUAAAUUUAUAUCCUGACGCCUAUUAUUCUAUUUUGGAGGUGGGCAUAAUAACACCCUGGUGUGCGUUCAUACUUCACAGGCUGGAUACAUAUUCAGAUACACGAGCAAUCUAGGUGCUUAUACGGUAGGAUGUACGCAAAUACCUACGUGUCAAUGCGCGAGAGUAUCUCGCCUCCAAACACUACCAUGCCACGUACACCAUGGCUACCCUCACCUCACACCUCUACAACGUAGGAAAUACGCAACUCUUUUUUUUCUUUUUUCUUUUUUUUGUCCCUCUCCCUUUUUAUGUGUGCUGAACUUUCUUUGGAAUCGAAAUAUCUGAACCUGAGCGCCCAAGUGCAUCAUGUUCCCUAAUCAUGUGUUCCCUGGUGCUCAGGUUGCGCCGCCCGUCACGCAAGUAGGCGCGUCCACUUCCGGCCGUCGCCGUCCGACGCAAUCCCCGUCCAAAGAUCGCCGCGGAAACGCCGCUUUCAGGCGCUACGGCCCGGCGCCCACUUCACUGUGCGGAUAAGCUCCGAGCUACGGAGACGGGGGGCUCACCCCUGAUGUCACUCGCGCGCCAUCAUGCCACGGCAAUGAUCACGACUAAAACACGACUUGUUGUUUUCAACCGUAUAACAUAGUAAUAAUAAGCUUUGUGUCAUG